rnacentral:rRNA from 1 species
UACGUAGGGUGCAAGCGUUGUCCGGAAUCAUUGGGCGUAAAGGGCGCGUAGGCGGGCUUGUAAGUCGAUUGUGAAAUCCCUGGGCUUAACCCGGGAAUUGCAGUCGAAACUGCAAGUCUUGAAUGCUCGAGAGGAUGGUGGAAUUCCUGGAGUAGUAGUGAAAUACGUAGAUAUCAGGAGGAACACCGGAGGCGAAGGCGGCCAUCUGGCGAGACAUUGACGCUGAGGCGCGAAAGCGUGGGGAGCAAACAGG